rnacentral:rRNA from 1 species
AGUGAACGCUGGCGGUAGGCCUAACACAUGCAAGUCGAACGGCAGCACAGAGGAGCUUGCUCCUUGGGUGGCGAGUGGCGGACGGGUGAGGAAUACAUCGGAAUCUACUCUGUCGUGGGGGAUAACGUAGGGAAACUUACGCUAAUACCGCAUACGACCUACGGGUGAAAGCAGGGGAUCUUCGGACCUUGCGCGAUUGAAUGAGCCGAUGUCGGAUUAGCUAGUUGGCGGGGUAAAGGCCCACCAAGGCGACGAUCCGUAGCUGGUCUGAGAGGAUGAUCAGCCACACUGGAACUGAGACACGGUCCAGACUCCUACGGGGGGCAGCAGUGGGGAAUAUUGGACAAUGGGCGCAAGCCUGAUCCAGCCAUACCGCGUGGGUGAAGAAGGCCUUCGGGUUGUAAAGCCCUUUUGUUGGGAAAGAAAUCCAUCUGGUUAAUACCCGGGUGGGAUGACGGUACCCAAAGAAUAAGUACCGGCUAACUUCGUGCCAGCCGCCGCGGUAA